GGCUCAGAUUGAACGCUGGCGGCAUGCCUUACACAUGCAAGUCGAACGGCAGCACGGGAGCAAUCCUGGUGGCGAGUGGCGAACGGGUGAGUAAUAUGUCGGAACGUGCCCAGUCGUGGGGGAUAACGCAGCGAAAGCUGUGCUAAUACCGCAUACGAUCUAUGGAUGAAAGCGGGGGAUCGCAAGACCUCGCGCGAUUGGAGCGGCCGAUAUCAGAUUAGCUAGUUGGUGGGGUAAAAGCCCACCAAGGCGACGAUCUGUAGCUGGUCUGAGAGGACGACCAGCCACACUGGAACUGAGACACGGUCCAGACUCCUACGGGAGGCAGCAGUGGGGAAUUUUGGACAAUGGGCGCAAGCCUGAUUCAGCAAUGCCGCGUGCAGGAUGAAGGCCUUCGGGUUGUAAACUGCUUUUGUACGGAACGAAACGGUCUGCUCUAAUACGGCGGGCUAAUGACGGUACCGUAAGAAUAAGCACCGGCUAACUACGUG
rnacentral:rRNA from 1 species